rnacentral:tRNA from 1 species
UCCGGACGUGGCGGGCGCCGCUGCGGCGCUCGACCGCGCCAAGGGUGUCCUGCGCACCAAGGUCGGUGCCGGGACCGGUGUCCGGUAC